AUCUACCUUGCAAUAAUGGAAGGAAAAACAAGUCAAAUUAUGUAACUGUCUCUCUCGCAAUGGACUGAACGAAUGAGUACUGGAAUAAGACACAACACCAUCUUCCAUCACUAACUGUCAACAUAUCACUUCAAAGGAGGAAACCUGCACAAAGGACGAAACCAUCAAUCACAGCUCACACGAGAAGCGGUGAGUUCACACCAAGAAUCAAAGGAAUCGCGUUCCGAAUGAGCGGAGAAGGGACGAAGAAGACUGGCGAAAUUCGGCGAGGGGUCCUCGUCGCGGAAGAGAACGCGAAGAAAACGCGAAAACCACGAAACGCCCAGGUCGAGAGACGGAAGAGAAAGAACGCGAGGCGAGUAUUCGCGCACGCACUCGCGGAGAUUCGCAGUUGAAGGAAAAGGAGUGCAAUCGCAUCGGUGCGCACAAUGCAGAGACGAGAACAGAAACGGCGACGACGACAAAGAUGAUGAAGGGAGGCCGCGAAUUUCUCAAAAAGCGCGUCUCUCAAAGGCGCACUCGUGGUUUCGUGAAUGUGCCUCUCACGACUGUCUUAAGAUUCAUUCAUUCAUCCACCGCCUCGGCUCAUCGUCCGCCGUUUGCCCUCUCCUCUCUCUUCACGUGGGGCCGAAGAAGACUGACUUUACACACAUACAUACGUAUGUGCAGCAUGUACACGGGCACACAACGUGCCUCGGGGGGUAUCUUGCUCGGAACUCCUGUAGAUUAAGUGUGUAUUUGUAAGGUGUACACUAUAAACGCGCGUGGCUCGAAGCCAGCUCGCUUUUCUUCUUGCUCGCUCCUUCCGUUCUGGCUUCUCUCCUCUUCCCUUCGCAGGUAGAACCGGCAUAUAGGAUGUGCGUUUUAGAAAUUAACAUUGCAUAUGCGAGCGUGUCUCUUAAUUGAGACACUCAACUAGUAAUAUCGAUAUGAAACCAUCAAAUAAUGCGCAAAGUUAUGCGUCAAAACGUUUUUAAUACUUUUAUCACUGAAGACACUUUUCUCUCUUGAAUUUUACUUCAUUUUCAAUCAUUAAUUACUUUCUAAAGAAUAAUAAUUAAAUCGAACAGUAUGUUACUUUUUACGAAAGGAAUAAACGUAAAAUCACAAGUACGUGAUUGUAAAAUAUUGUACAAUGGCUGAUUCCGUUAAGGAAAAAUAUACUUCACGUUGCGAAGCGCAUAGUUGAUAGGACGAUAAUUUUGUACGACCCUGUAGAUGCAGGUAGAUGCAUGAUGCACACACUCGAGGUAUCGAUGCGGUGCACGCGCGAAUGCGUCGUGCGGUUGAUAGCGUGCGGAGCGUUUAUUUUAACUCUUUCGAUAUCCGUGUACCACAUGCAUCGCGCGUAUCCAUUGAUUCAAAGCCCGCGGCACUUUCGCAAAGAGAUGCCAAGCACUCUUUAUUUAAUGCUACCGCAUUUUAUUUAAUAAUUUCUUCUGGACGGCUGCUUUUUAACAGCCGCACGAAAAAAUUCUGCCGCGCAAGAUUUCGCACGAACAUCGUGGAAUCCCGAGAUCGAUAAAGCAAUCGCAAAAGCAAUCACGAAAGAUAAUUUAACGGAAUUUAUUGAUAACAUCGAGCCGCUUAUUUGCGUCACAUCUUAGGCGGAAAUAUAAUGUCAUAUUGUUGCAAUUUAAUGUUUGCUUGCUUGCACAAAAUCUGCUAAAUACCUUUUCUUAAUUUGCUUCAUAGACAAAAUCGUUAACUUGCUUUUUUUAUAUUACAUUUAAAAACAGCUAUAAUAAAAUAGUAACCAAG
rnacentral:lncRNA from 1 species